UGGGGAAUUUUGGACAAUGGGGGAAACCCUGAUCCAGCCAUCCCGCGUGUGCGAUGAAGGCCUUCGGUUUGUAAAGCACUUUUGGCAGGAAAGAAACGUCAUGGGUUAAUACCCCGUGAAACUGACGGUACCUGCAGAAUAAGCACCGUCUAACUACGUGCCAGCAGCCGCGGUAAUACGUAGGGUGCAAGCGUUAAUCGGAAUUACUGGGCGUAAAGCGUGCGCAGACGGUUCGGAAAGAAAGAUGUGAAAUCCCAGAGCUCAACUUUGGAACUGCAUUUAUAACUACCGGGCUAGAGUGUGUCAGAGGGAGGUGGAAUUCCACGUGUAGCAGUGAAAUGCGUAGAUAUGCGGAGGAACACCGAUGGCGAAGGCAGCCUCCUGGGAUAACACUGACGCUCAUGCACGAAAGCGUGGGGAGCAAACAGG
rnacentral:rRNA from 1 species